AUUGAACGCUGGCGGCAGGCUUAACACAUGCAAGUCGAGCGGAGAUGAGGUGCUUGCACCUUAUCUUAGCGGCGGACGGGUGAGUAAUGCUUAGGAAUCUGCCUAUUAGUGGGGGACAACAUUCCGAAAGGAAUGCUAAUACCGCAUACGCCCUACGGGGGAAAGCAGGGGAUCUACGGACCUUGCGCUAAUAGAUGAGCCUAAGUCGGAUUAGCUAGUUGGUGGGGUAAAGGCCUACCAAGGCGACGAUCUGUAGCGGGUCUGAGAGGAUGAUCCGCCACACUGGGACUGAGACACGGCCCAGAGUCCGACGGGAGGCAGCAGUGGGGAAUAUUGGACAAUGGGCGGAAGCCUGAUCUAGCCAUGCCGCGUGUGUGAAGAAGGCCUUUUGGUUGUAAAGCACUUUAAGCGAGGAGGAGGCUACCUGGAUUAAUACUCUAGGAUAGUGGACGUUACUCGCAGAAUAAGCACCGGCUAACUCUGUGCCAGCCGCCGCCGUAAAAC
rnacentral:rRNA from 1 species